GAAACGACUGCUAAGACUGGAUAGGAGACAAGAAGGCAUCUUCUUGUUUUUAAAAGACCUAGCAAUAGGUAUGCUUAGGGAGGAGCUUGCGUCACAUUAGUUAGUUGGUGGGGUAAAGGCCUACCAAGACUAUGAUGUGUAGCCGGGCUGAGAGGUUGAACGGCCACAUUGGGACUGAGACACGGCCCAAACUCCUACGGGAGGCAGCAGUAGGGAAUUUUCGGCAAUGGAGGAAACUCUGACCGAGCAACGCCGCGUGAACGAUGAAGUAUUUCGGUACGUAAAGUUCUUUUAUUAGGGAAGAAUAAAUGAUGGAAAAAUCAUUCUGACGGUACCUAAUGAAUAAGCCCCGGCUAACUAUGUGCCAGCAGCCGCGGUAAUACAUAGGGGGCAAGCGUUAUCCGGAAUUAUUGGGCGUAAAGGGUGCGUAGGCGGUUAAAUAAGUUUAUGGUCUAAGUGCAAUGCUCAACAUUGUGAUGCUAUAAAAACUGUUUAGCUAGAGUAAGAUAGAGGCAAGUGGAAUUCCAUGUGUAGUGGUAAAAUGCGUAAAUAUAUGGAGGAACACCAGUAGCGAAGGCGGCUUGCUGGGUCUUUACUGACGCUGAGGCACGAAAGCGUGGGGAGCAAACAGGAUUAGAUACCCUGGUAGUCCACGCCGUAAACGAUGAGUACUAAACGUUGGGUAAAACCAGUGUUGAAGUUAACACAUUAAGUACUCCGCCUGAGUAGUACGUACGCAAGUAUGAAACUUAAAGGAAUUGACGGGACUCCGCACAAGCGGUGGAUCAUGUUGUUUAAUUCGAAAGGUACCCGAAAAAACCUCACCAGGUCUUGACAUGCUUCUGCAAAGCUGUAGAAACAACAGUGGAGGUUAUCAGUUGCACAGGUGGUGCAUGGUUGUCGUCAGCUCGUGUCGUGAGAUGUUGGGUUAAGUCCCGCAACGAGCGCAACCCUUAUUGUUAGUUACCAGCACGUAAUGGUGGGGACUUUAGCAAGACUGCCAGUGAUAAAUUGGAGGAAGGUGGGGAUGACGUCAAAUCAUCAUGCCCCUUAUGACCUGGGCUACAAACGUGAUACAAUGGCUGUUACAAAGGGUAGCUGAAGCGCAAGUUUUUGGCGAAUCUCAAAAAAACAGUCUCAGUUCGGAUUGAAGUCUGCAACUCGACUUCAUGAAGUUGGAAUCGCUAGUAAUCGCGAAUCAGCAUGUCGCGGUGAAUACGUUCUCGGGGUUUGUACACACCGCCCGUCA
rnacentral:rRNA from 1 species